ACAGAAUAUAACUUGUUGAAGAAGGGGAUACAAUACCAUAAGAAAUAAGCAGAGCUCAACUUUGAAUUUCACACCAUAACCGCUCUUCUGCUCUCACUUCCCAAAAUUCGACCGUCAGAGCGGGUAUUUCUUGAUACAGUACAAGAUUAAGAUAGUUACAUGUGAUCAAAAAGUUAUACAGGCAAUUCUUUUAAGUUCUUGAUUGAAAUAUUUUGUUCUUGAAGCUGUACAUUUAUUUGAAUGGGAAAGGAUGGACGAAAGCUCUUCCCUUGCAAUGCUUGCGAGAUCGAAUUUACUAAAUCGGGAAUUGAUUCCCAUAAUAAGAACGAGCAUCAGCAAUCUUUAGCCAUUUGGGGCUUAUGUCAUAAUGUUUUUCUUUCGGAUACUGAAAAGGAACUACACAAGAUACAGUUUCCCAAUAAGAGCUGCAAGAAAGCCUCGUGGGAAAAGCCUGAAUCUGAUGAUCUAAAGGAUAUUGCAACUGGCAAAGCACCUGCUUUAGUUUUUGAAGUUGAGUCUUGAAAAGUUCUCUGUUGAAGAUAAAGGAUCUACUGACAGUUCCACAGAUGAAGCAAACAAAUCUGAGGAUGUUUUACAUCCAGGGAUUAAGGGCGAAGGUCCUGAACCAGGUGAGAAGUCUCUCCUGAAUCAUGACUGUAGAAAGAAUUUAGAAUGUGAAACGAUGUCUUGUCUUAAUUACAUUACCUCUUAACUAAAUAUAUUGUGCGGUGGUAUUUUGUAGGAUAAGAAUGUGGGACUGGUAGAGAUUAAGUCUGAAGAGUAUUAGCUGCUGAAGAGUAUUAGGAGUCUGAAGAGUAUUAGCUGCUGAGAGUAUUAACAUGUAAAUAGUUAUCAUAGUUAGUAUUAUGUGAAUGUAGUAGACUGAUUACCUCUGCAGCAUCUAGUGUGACCUCCAAUGGCAUGACAAUAAAAUGAUGUGCUAAUUCUAAACCUACCAGGAUGGCUUGUAUUUCAGCUUGAAUGGGAUUGGCAAAAGAAUGUGCUUAGUAUAGCCUAUCAACCAGUUGCCAAAAUGAUCCCUUAUGAUUCUUCCAAUACCCUUUUCCCAGUUCGUGGUGUUGCCGCACCAUCACCAUUAAGCUUGUAAAAGAUUGGUUUAGAAGGUAUCCAUUUAAUAUAUGUUUGUGAGCUGGGUAAAGGCGUCCUAGAAGAAUCAGUAAGGUAAUGAAAUUCCAUGGCCUUAUGUUGAUGGCCAGUUGUGAAAGAGGGGGCAAGUUCUUGUUAUUAAAGAAGUUGUCAUUUCUAUUAAGCCAGAUCGUCCACAAGUAAAAAGGGAUUAACGUAUCAGCAGGUAUCCCAAAAGAGUAUUGAUUAUUAAGACAGUGUAUAAGUUGAGGAAUCCACUAUAAUGGUUCCUGUAAAGUGUGAUAUGCAAGAGGUAUGAAUUGUAGAGUUCCAAAAUUUCUUGGCAUUUGUACAAUCUAAGAAAAGAUGAUAAACAAUUUUCGGGCUUGGCAGAAAAAACAAUUAGCAUGAGUAAGAAGUCGGCAAUACCUAUGUGGCGAAGGUAUGCAUGAAUAGGAAGUCGUUAGUUGCAGCAUAACCAUAUGAAAUAUUUAACUUUUUGCGGUAUGCGAAGCUUCCAUAGCCAUGUGAAUUGUUGUGAAGGUUCAUGGCUCUGUAAAGAAUGGUACAUGGACUUUGCUGUGAGCCUGUGACCAUGCCUAAUGAUGUCAAAGCCCAAAUCUGCGAGUCUUUUCUAUGGGGAACAGUUGGAUGUCGGUAUUAAAGACAUGAGUUAAGAUUCCAUUAGGUAGCUCAAAGGAGAUUGUAGAGAAAUUCCAACUAUUGUUGUCUCACUCUCCGAAGCAUCAAUUGGAUUCUCCAGGUACUGAUUUUUUCCUUUUCUCCAUUGGAUUAGGGUUUGAUUUUUGAGAAAUUGAUCGAUUUAUCAACUGAGUUUAUCAUAUUGUGUUUCUCUCAAUAUAUCGAAGACUCAAAGAAAUUGAUUUCAUCUUACUUGUGAGUUCCCUUGUUUUCACGCCUUUUCGAUCGAUUUAUCAACUUUGAAUCAUUUCUAGAAAGUUCAGAGAUCUAUAUUCUGAUUCUAUUUUUUUUUUCCAGGAAAGGUCCAAAGAAAAAUUUCUCUAAUCGGCUCGUUGCCCUGCGUCUUGGCACCAUGUAGAAGCUUCAGCUCUUCAUUCGGGGUAUACUUCACUUCAAGGUUUUUAACUAUCCUACUUUUUGGGAUUUUCCCUAAAUCUCUAAUUUUUAGGUUUUCGUUGCGGAUAAUCUUAUUCAAUAAGGUUUAUAAGGAGGUUAGCUUUACUAGUAAUUGAUUUUUUGGUUGCUUAGAUUAACUUGUUUGUUGUUUUGUUAUUUGUCGGUGAAUCUGUUGGGACAAUGUGGUGUUUGUACUUCUUGUUUGAUGAUGGAACUAUGAACGAAGAUUUUCUUUGUUAUAGGUGUGACUUAUUUUCUCAAACUUAAAAGCAACUUACUUAUUUUAACGAUCGUUACAAGCUAGCUCUGUUUCAAAGCUUUUGGAGUACAAGCUUCUUUCGGACUCUCUGUAGCUUACUGUUUCAUAGGCAAAGGCUUCAAAGAAAGAUAAAAAAAAAGGCAAAGACUUCAGCUUUUGGGUGUUUCUUCAUUGCUUAUUGUUGCGCAAGUACCGGAGCCAAGAAUUGAUUUUAUUCCCGUGGUAAUGUAUGUAAGUUUGCGUAUGAAUCUAAUAUAAUCUAUUGAUUAUCAGGAAGUAUUAGGAAAUCUAGCCUCCACAUGUUAAGGAUUUUUGUUACAUUAUAGCCAAUACAUAUACGAAGAAAGAUGUCGUGAAGUUGGAGGCUAGUGUGCUACAAUCCCUCAAAUUGGAAAUGGGUAAUCCCCUAACCCUAACAUUUCUUAGGUAGGUCACUGUUUUGCGAUUAACUAGACGAGGAACAAUUAAGGUUCCUCGACUGAUAUGAAUGAUCAUUUUUCCUUGGUAUGCAGAUGACGUAUAUGUUAAGAAAAUGAAGUUUAUCAAAAAGAAGGUCACAAAGCGAAGAGGGAACUAACUUAUUUUGUUGUUUCCUAUUAUUUGUAAUUCUAUAUAUUCAUUGUUUGUUCUGUUUAGAGUUCAACAUUUUGUUAUAACUGUUCUUUUUUCAGGUCUUUUCAUCUUUUAUUCCUACAACUUAACUGGACUAGUGCAAGUCUUGAAUGCUAGUACUAUUGAGUAUCUUUCUAUCAAUUCUCAAAAAGUUUUCCGAACUGUUAGAUGACCGAACCAAGUACUCCAUGUUUAUUUUACACUAUCAUUGGACUCUACAAAACUAAAUCCAUUUACUGUAGGAACUUAACAAUGUUGAGACCACAAUUUGGAGAGAAAUUUUAUGUAUCUAUUCAGCCAGUUCAAUCAUAUGUUUGCUUUUAUGGAUGACCAUCUAUUGGAAUGUUGCAGUUUCUACACUUUCUCCUGGAUGCCUCAGGUGAAGGAAAUCAUUGUCGUAUGUGACCCUUCUUAUAAAGACAUUUUUAAAGGCAUGGACUUCAAAUUUCUUAUAGUGUGUGUGUCUGCAUUCCGCAGCCAAGAGAAAUAUGGCCAACAAAGCAAUGAACAUGCGUUUACCUAUCUUAUUCAGAUUACAAUAUCUCUAGGAAUUUGUGCAGACACUAAGGUAAUUAUAUAAGAAUUCUUCAUUCAUUUUAUAGAUGCCAAAGAGAAUAUCCAAGUCGACUUAAAAUUUGCAUUGCCUGGGAAGGAAAGACAAGAUUCUAUAUACAGCCUACUUCAGGUGCAUGGUAUGACAUAGUUUUUGACUCACAAUAGCUUCUGCCUUAUUAAACUAUGUCUAGUGGUUAAGCUGUCUCCUUGGAAUCCCCAGUUAUAUCACAUUCCCCUUCUAUUAUAGACCAGUAUAUUACAUCUGGCACUCUUACUAAACCGUGCUCUAAUUUAUGCUAUUGUUGCAUGUUCCAUGUUUUGUAAUUUUGGCCUAAGAACUGUGCAUCUUUUUUAGAUAAUUCAUUGCUUGAUAUUGCAAGUGUAUAGUAGUGUGUACCUCACUGUUCCGGAAUCUAACAUUGUGUAGAAUACACUUGCAAUUAUGGACCAGAUGCAUCUUCUUUAUAUGAAAGUACGAACAGUUGGCCAUAUCCAAGCCCUCUGGAAAAUAAAAAAAGGUUUCCUGUGUGGCAUGCAGUAGCUUUCCUUGGUGAAGAUGACUUACUAGGGUAGCUUUUGAUAAACAAUUAAGGUUAUUUAUCCACUUCUUAUGUCAAGUUUCAUAUUCUUAAGUUUAUUAUUUUGAUUGGAUUUUGUUUUGUGUUUUUAUGAUUUUGGUUUAACUCUUUUAUUUUGCAUGAUCCAUUUCUACUUGACGAUUUUGUUGAGGUUUCUGAGGAGAUGUACCCUCAAGGUGAAAGGUACAGUGUUGACACCCAAUUUUGUCCCGCCUCUCCUCCGAAAUACCUGUUUACGCUUCUAAUAUUUUUGGAAAAUUAUAAAAUAUAUAUUUGUAUUUUUUACUAUAAUUAUUAGCCUCUUAUCAAUACCGGCGUUUCUUUAUUCUAUUGCAGUUACUAGCCAUCAUUAUCAUUAUUAUUAUUAUUAUUAUUAUUAUUAUUAUUAUUAUUAUUAUUAUUAUUAUUAUUAUUGUUGUUGUUAUUAUUAUUAUUAUUAUUAUUAUUAUUAUUAUUAUUAUUAUUAUUAUUAUAAUUCACAAUUCUAUCAUUCCGGCAUUUUACCAGCUUACGCACACGCAUCACAUUUAUCUUUGCAUAAUUAAAUAAUAGUGUUUAUUUCCUGUGGAUUUUCGAAAUAUUAUUGCACGGCUAUUACAACGCCAUUUUUUAUUUGAGCACUAAUAAUUGCAUAUUUUAUAUUAAGUAAUAUUUUAACACAAGUUAUUUAAAUAGGUCUUUUAUUUAAAUGUAGUAGCCCAAUCAACUCAUACUAUUUUCGGACCAAUUCACAAAAUCAGUCCACAUUUUAAUUUACCUGGCCACAUUUUAAUUCAAUCUGCUCAUUCUUUUAAUUCACUAGCCCAAAUCGAUUAGCCCACAUUUCAAAUACCAGUCGAUAUUUUAAAUGGACCAGCCCAACCCAAUACACUACCCGACCCAACUCAAAGACCCGGAUCCGUCCACAAAAUAAAGGAAACCCUUUUAGGGUUUCCUUUCAUUCGCUUCCCUUUUUUCUGCCGCCUCCCUUUCCUUUCCCUUCCCCAUCGCCUCUCUCUCUCCUCUCUCUUUCUCCUUCUCUCCUCCAUCUCCCUCACCUGCCAUCUCCACCACGCCCUGUCCCCCACGCCACUGCCACCCCCACGCCUUCCUGUUCCCCACGCCAUUGUCGCCCCACUUCGACCUUGUCCCCCCGCUCCUCUCUCUCCUUCUUUCGAACGAAAACCCUAAUCCACCCUAUAAAUAGCGGUGGGUUGGAAUCUGUGAGGGGAGGAUUUUUCUGGUUCAUGAAAUUACCCCCAAGAAAUAGAGGAUUUGUGGAUUGGUGAAAACCCCCCAAGAACCGGUUUUAAAGCCGCCCGGAAAACCCCUCUGAAAACAGUUCUCGAAUCACCACUUUUCUCUUAAAAAUAUAAACUUUUAACUGCUCCAGCUCCCUUAAAAUAUUAGUUCUAAAAUUAUCUUGAUAUCAUCCCCAAAAUACUACAUCCUCUUCUACUUUUUUCUGCUUUUGGUAUUUGUUCGACUCUGAAUAUAUGCAAACUCCGGAUUGGUAGCGUUUCGAAGUAGAUCGGAGACUCAAAGCCUCACUUCGCUGCACCCGAAGAAGAUAUCUCCUGCUUUGGUGGAUAUCAGAGAUGGUGUCCUCAUCGUUAUUCUGAAGCAGUGAUCAAAUCUGAAGAUGCAACCUCUUCCCUCGUAUGCCCAACGUAUACUUGUUAAAGUGCCUAAAGAUCAAAGGCUCAGUUUGGAGAAACAAGUAAAGUGCCAGAAGGAGGCUCGUUACGAAUAUAGAAAAAUAGCGAUUUGAAUUUAACAUUGUAUAUAUAGAGAAGAUGUAUUAGAAAUUUCUCAUUCUUAUCCUAUUUAGAGAAGGGGUUUCAAACCGCCACAAAUUGCAAAUUUAACCCCCGCAAUUUGAGUCUUUUUUUUUGUAGUGAUAUAUGAGGC